UACGUAGGGUGCGAGCGUUAAUCGGAAUUACUGGGCGUAAAGCGUACGUAGGCGGCUUGUUAAGCAAGAUGUGAAAUCCCCGGGCUCAACCUGGGAAUGGCAUUUUGAACUGGCAGGCUCGAGUUCUGAAGAGGGUGGUAGAAUUUCCAGUGUAGCGGUGAAAUGCGUAGAUAUUGGAAGGAAUACCGGUGGCGAAGGCGGCCACCUGGUCAGAAACUGACGCUGAGGCACGAAAGCGUGGGGAGCAAACAGG
rnacentral:rRNA from 1 species